AAUCAACGCUGGCGGCGUGCCUCAGACAUGCAAGUCGAACGAUUAAAGCUCCCUUCGGGGAGGGCAUAAAGUGGCGCACGGGUGAGUAACACGUAAGUAAUCUACCCUCGGGUGGGGAAUAACAUCGGGAAACCGAUGCUAAUACCGCAUAAUGCAGCGGCACCGCAAGGUGACAGUUGUUAAAGAUUUAUUGCCUGGGGAGGAGCUUGCGGCAGAUUAGCUUGUUGGAAGGUAACGGCUUACCAAGGCUACGAUCUGUAUCCGGUCUAAGAGGACGGUCGGACACACUGACACUGAAUAACGGGUCAGACUCCUACGGGAGGCAGCAGUCGGGAAUUUUGGGCAAUGGGGGAAACCCUGACCCAGCAACGCCGCGUGAAGGAUGAAGUAUUUCGGUAUGUAAACUUCGAAAGAAUAGGAAGAAUUAAUGACGGUACUAUUUAUAAGGUCCGGCUAACUACGUGCCAGCAGCCGCGGUAAC
rnacentral:rRNA from 1 species